CUGGCCUUGAACUCUGUGAAAUCCUGCCUUAACUUCCUUGCGCCUGGUUAGCCGUGUGUACCUCCAGGCCCAGCCCCAACUUUGGCUCUGCACUCACUGUCUUCCCUUUGUUUUGUUUUUGGGUGUUAGUUUAUUUGUGUGAGACAGGGGCUAGCUGUGUAACCCACAGUUGACCUUGAAUUUAUGAUUCUCCAGUUUCUGACUCCCGAGUGUCAGGGUUCCAGGGCUGUGCCACAUCUCCCACUAUGUUUAGGUUCUGGUCCAUUUUGAGUUUGUUUUGUUUCUGUCAGAUGCUGUGGAAGAGCAUGUGUUUAUCAGCCUGUGUGUCCUUUGCUGCUCCCUCUGUCCAUAACCUUCUGUGCUGACUUGUACUUGAACCUUUGUGAACACUGGGUUGUACUUUGUCACUUCAUCUCUGUCGCCACGGUGGCAGAUUUCCACAAGCUUGGUGGCCUAAGAAACGGGCCUCCUUUCUCUGCUAGUUUCAGAGCCAGGACUGUGAAGGCUGCCCAGGCUCCUGGCGGGAAUGCCGCCCUCUUUCACGGCGCCCCUAUAGUUGAUCAGAGUCCGCCUUUGAGCAGCUGAGCAGAGCCUACCUAGGCCUUGCUCCACGACAGGCGUGCAUUUCAUGAAGACAGAACCAGCGUGGCUUGAAGUCAUAUGACCAGCCUGGGGAUGAGCGCGCAGAGGGGAAGGCACCAUCAGUCCUGCUGGAAAGACGUGGCACAUCACGGACAGCUGCAAGAGGUGGAAGUGAGUAUCACAUGGCGGUGAACAACAGGAGUGAACAUUAUCCCGAGGUAACCCUAUCUCCCGGGUCAUUACCAGUAACUCUCAACAUGAUCUCAAGGUUACCUUGGACUCUGGCCAGCACCCUGGGAGAGCCGACCUAGCUGAAGGCCAGUGACCUGGAAGGCCAAAAAUAAGCUAGCCAUGAGCUCCACUGGGGAGAGGGAAUAAACAAGCAAAAGAAACCAGAGGCCUGGGAGUUGUGAUACAGUGGCCUGCGUGGUGCACCCACUAGCUCGGGGACGCUAGACGAAUAAAAUUCGGGUGCCCCUUCC